UACGUAGGGUGCAAGCGUUGUCCGGAAUUAUUGGGCGUAAAGAGCUCGUAGGCGGUUUGUCGCGUCUGCUGUGAAAUCUGGGGGCUCAACCCCCAGACUGCAGUGGGUACGGGCAGACUAGAGUGCGGUAGGGGAGAUUGGAAUUCCUGGUGUAGCGGUGGAAUGCGUAGAGAUCGGGAGGAACACCAGUGGCGAAGGCGGCCAUCUGGGACAACACUGACGCUGAGGCACGAAAGCGUGGGGAGCAAACAGG
rnacentral:rRNA from 1 species